GAUGAAGAACGCAGCGAAAUGCGAUAAGUAAUGCGAAUUGCAGAAUUUCCGUGAAUCAUCGAAUCUUUGAACGCACAUUGCGCCCCUUGGUAUUCCGAGGGGCAUGCCUGUUCGAGCGUCAUUUCAACCCUCAAGCACAGCUUGGUCUUGGGCUUCGCCGCUAACCCGGCGGGUCUUAAAAUCAGUGGCGGUGCCGUCGGGCCCUGAGCGCAGUAAUCUCUCUCGCUAUAGGGUCCCGGCGGAUGCUGGCCAGUAACCCCCAAUUUUCUAUGGUUGACCUCGGAUCAGGUAGGGAUACCCGCUGAACUUAAGCAUAUCAAUAAGCGGAGGA
rnacentral:misc_RNA from 1 species